rnacentral:rRNA from 1 species
CGAGAGGUGCAAGCGUUAUUCGGAAUUAUUGGGCGUAAAGGGUGCGUAGGCGGUAUGAUAAGUCUGUUGUUAAAUAUCCUGGCUCAACCAGGAAAAUGCAAUGGAAACUAUUGUUCUAGAGGGUGAGAGAGAGAAGUGGAAUUCCAGGAGUUAGCGGUCAAAUGCGUAGAUCUCUGGAGGAACACCGAUGGCGAAGGCAGCUUCUUGGCUCAUUUCUGACGCUGAGGCACGAAAGCGUGGGGAGCAAACAGGAUUAGAUACCCUGGUAGUCCACGCUGUAAGCGAUGAUCACUAGAUGUUGGUUCGGCUUGCCGGAUCAGUGUCGUAGCUAACGCGUUAAGUGAUUCGCCUGGGAAGUACGGUCGCAAGACUA